GUGGGGAAUAUUGGACAAUGGGCGCAAGCCUGAUCCAGCCAUGCCGCGUGAGUGAUGAAGGCCUUAGGGUUGUAAAGCUCUUUCACCGGAGAAGAUAAUGACGGUAUCCGGAGAAGAAGCCCCGGCUAACUUCGUGCCAGCAGCCGCGGUAAUACGAAGGGGGCUAGCGUUGUUCGGAAUUACUGGGCGUAAAGCGCACGUAGGCGGACAUUUAAGUCAGGGGUGAAAUCCCGGGGCUCAACCCCGGAACUGCCUUUGAUACUGGGUGUCUGGAGUAUGGAAGAGGUAAGUGGAAUUCCGAGUGUAGAGGUGAAAUUCGUAGAUAUUCGGAGGAACACCAGUGGCGAAGGCGGCUUACUGGUCCAUUACUGACGCUGAGGUGCGAAAGCGUGGGGAGCAAACAGGAUUAGAAACCCCGGUAGUCC
rnacentral:rRNA from 1 species